CCACUAAGGACAUUGUGACUUCUGGGAAGUUAACCAGAGACUCUCUGAUGUAUUGACUCUCCAGCAGACGGACUGGAUUCCAACAGAGAAGACAACAGCAACAUAUGGGGGUUGCAUCUCACUCUCCUCUCUUCAGGUCCACUAAAGUCACUCAAAUGGUCUCUGGGUGGUCCCUCUGGGUCUUCUCUUUGAAUUGCUUAUUUUCUAUGAUUGUUGUAAUAUCUUUAGGGUAUUCAAUUUCAACCUUGUUUAUAUUUUAAAAAGAUGCACCUGGGUUCUGCAUGGCUUGCUACAGACACAGUCGGUAUUAGAUAGAAUGUCGCGACUGUGCCCGCGAUGAAGAAAACAACCUGUUGUUACCUAGGUUACCCUAUUGCCUCACAACAAUUCAAAUGCAAUUUUCUUGUUGUCUGCUUCUUUUAGUAAAGUACAAAACUACAUUUAAGAAAAGUAAAACAUGUCUAAAGAUUACUUUUCAACAUUGCCUGCUCCUUAGUGCAGACACUACUUAGAAAAACAUAAUAUUGUAGGGCAUGCCCCUUUUCAUGACGAUGCUAGCAGCCACUUGUCUUACAUGUGAUUAUAUUUUUUCCACACACAUAGCUACGUGUAGCCUACUUGGACACCACAUCCCCACAUUUCCCACAACGAUUAGCCUGAAGCAACAGGGCUUUUCUCACAGGCUCUAUUUCCCUACGUGGGAGCAUUGUGAACCAUAGGAUGAGAUUUUUGACCUGGCUACAUGUAGAUUUAACAACACAGCAGCUCUUCGGCAUAUUUUGUUAUUUCUGUAUAGCAAAAAAUCAAUGACGAAGUUGCCUUUUUUACAAUGGGGGUCAAUAGGAAUGUAUAUUGGUUUUCCCUAAUUUUGGGGUGUGAUCAAGGGGAAUUUCUUAUUAUUACAUGAAUACCGACUGGGACUAUGGCUUGGUACUUCAUUAUGACAUCAGUAUGUGUUCAGCGUGUGUUCUGAGCUUGUUUUUGCUAAUGCUAAUAGCACAUUAGAUUCUCGGUUUGUUGGUG
rnacentral:lncRNA from 1 species